rnacentral:tRNA from 1 species
GGGCCCGUAGCUCAGUUGGUUAGAGCACCGGACUCAUAAUCCGUCGGUCGUGGGUUCAAGCCCCACCGGGCCUA